GCCUUGUUAGCUCAGUCGGCACAGCGUGGUGCCGUGGUGCUAACAACGCUAAGGUCGUGAGUUCGAUCCUCACACAGGCCA